UAAAUAUAAUAUUCGAGUUCGGGUUGAAUCGGGAAAAUUCGGGCAAAUUCGAAUAUUCUCGCAAUCUUGGAUGCCAAACUUCACACAGUUAAUGCUUCGAGUCGUAUCGAAUCGGAAAAAUUCGAUUUAGAAUAUCGAUUUUUAUUGAAUAUACAAUUUAGUAAUAAUUUCGGAUCAAUUCGAAAGUAAUCGAAGAUAGAAGUAUAUGACCAAUAUUUAGAGCAUUUGGAAUGAGUAUACUAUGCAUACGAUAUAAAAUAUUUGAUUCUAAUUAUUAAUAAACAUUAAAAUAUCGUGCGAUUAAUUUGAUAAACUUUGAAGUUUUUUCUCUUGGAUUUUUAUUACCAUAGCGCUUACAUCAUUUAUUCGGUUAAACUAGGUUCGUGGUUACAGUUGUCCAACAAGAAGAUUGGUGCAUGGAUCGAAAUAAAAAGUUGCGCACAGUUCACGUGGACGUUAGAUACCUGUACACGCUACGCCGAUAAAUUGCUUCGAAUUAUCUGCACGCUCAUCACUAGCACUUCCUCUCUUCGUCGAGCAGCGACCGUCUCUAUAGUGUAUGCAGAUAAAUUCUAACGAUUACAUGCAAUUUCUCUGCGACAUUAACGAACGAAGAAUCGGAAGUUCAAACGUACUAUAUAGCGGAUUGUGAGAUAUUCAUCGAGAACCAGUCUAUCUAGAACGAAACCGAUUUGCUGCUGCUUUUGAAGAAAGAAGAAAAAGAAUGAAAAAGAUCAGAAAGGAAGCAAUUCUCUUCUUUCCUUUUCUUCCCAGUUUUAUCGAUAUUUUCAACGAUUGGACGUUUCUAACCUAAAUUUUCAAUUUUAACGAUCUUAUAAAAUCUAUUAUAUAAUUUUUCCGUAAAAAUGAUGUAAUUUGCAAAAAUCUAAAUCUAUUGAAAAUUUAUAUUUUUGGAAAUAUCAAUGGAAUCUAUUUCCAUUCCAAUUCUUAAUACAUUUGAUAACAUUAUUCAUCUCACAAAUUUAAAAUUCGACUUAGUUUUCAAGAAAACUUCGAUUUUUCAUUUCGAUCUUUGAAAUUUUAGAAUAUUUCUUUCGGCAUAAUUUAGUUAGUCUGAAAAUUCUGUAAACAACUUUAAUUAUGGAACAUUGCACGAAAACGUAUUGAAAUCUUCAAAAAGGAUUCCAAUCGAUAUAAAGAUUAAAUCAACAAUCGAAAUCGAAAAGUUUGCAAUUAAAAUGCAAGCAUGAAAGCAUAAUGCUUUCCACACGAGGAAGAAUAUGAAAAGUAAGACUAACUAGAAUCAGGAAAGUAAGAAACGUUGACAAGGGACGUGGUGGAAAGGUCAAUGACGUCCAUACUCGUGAUCAAUAAUAUAAUAAUUACGUUCUGAUCUAGAUUAUAUCCCUAAACAAUGCGGCGUAUUAUCCUUGAUGGCGUUCUAAGCAAUGAAACUAUCGUGUUAUUCAUAUAUACGUGUUCAUUCAUCUAUAUUAUAGAUAUAUUAUAGAUGAAUGAAGAAAGUAUUGUUAAAUUUCUAAUUUGAAUCAACGAAUAUAAGAAUAUAAUUUUAUACACUACAAGUAAAAAAGAAUCGAAAUUCUCUUUAUGAAAGAGACAGUAUAAUUAACGAAGACAAUGAAUUUCAUGGAUCCUUCGAACAAACAUUUCAACCAGCGGACGGAAGUCUUGCGUUAAACCCAAUGUUAAACCGUGAAUACGAAUAAUUCAAGUUCCCAGCAUCAACUGCAGGCAAAUAAAGGUGAACAACAUCUUGAAGAGAGAGAAAGAUAGUUAGACACACAAAGAGCAUUAGGAAUGAAUGUAAUUGUAGUUCACAGAGGCGAAUUUUCGUAGAACUAAUUAGACUAUGUUACCAGCACAAACGUCUAAUUUGAACCGAAACUUUCUCCUAUAUAGUGCACAUGCUUGAUCAGAAUAUUUUUUGGUGUUUUAUAAUAUCAAUUUCCAAUUGAUAAAGUAUUAUCAAAUGUUAUAAACUAUAAUUAAAUUGUUGAAUAUUCAGAAUAUGAAGAUAUUUGUAAGAUUAUAAUUUUGUAAUGAAAGAGUGUGUAAAUUUAUCUAUAUAAACUUUUAUUAUAUCUCUAACUGGAAGUGAUUAUACAUUAGCAAAAUUCGAUAUAUUUUUUUUCAUUCGACUAUGAGAAUAUCGAAUAAAGAAAGAUGAUAAUAAAGAAAACGCGAAUUUUUCUUUUUUCGAAAUCAUUAUAUUGAAAGAAAAAUUGGAAAAAAAUGUAUUCUUUAUUGUUUAAACGAAGAAUAUUUUGAUAAAGUAAAAGUACAUUGUUCACUGCAUUAACCUAAUUUGGAAAUGUUUUACCGCAACGUAUCGGGAUUCCUACAGCUUUGUAAUUUAAUUAAACGCGAUACUUUUGAAA